rnacentral:lncRNA from 1 species
GAAGAUUGAAGUCGUAGCAUUUUUCUCGCUUUCGCCGUUGGUCAGCGCGUGUUCGACCAGGACUUGCCGGAGCUUUUGCAUCAACGGGUAGGUAGCACUGCAGGGAUCAUCAAUGUAGGCAAAGACAAAUUCGCGAUCGACAACUUUGAGUAAAUCUUUCUCGCUGAACCUUGAAGGGUGGAGUUCUCCAUUAACCCCUGUUGUUAGCACCUUUUUAGCCACCUGGUUCACUGUGUUCUUCACGGUUUGUCUCAGGUUCUCUUCCAAAUGCCUCAGGUCAAUUGCUUGGCAAAGUGCCACUAGAUACGUGGAGGACAUGAGUUUCAAGAUAUCAACGGCUUCAGCUGUUUUCCUCGAAGAGAUCAAGCCCAACGAG